AUACGGAGGAUGCGAGCGUUAUCCGGAUUUAUUGGGUUUAAAGGGUGCGUAGGCGGGAUUUUAAGUCAGCGGUGAAACGCAAGGGCUCAACCCUUGACCUGCCGGUGAAACUGGAGUUCUUGAAUGCGGAUGCUGUGGGAGGAAUGUGUGGUGUAGCGGUGAAAUGCAUAGAUAUCACACAGAACACCGAUUGCGAAGGCAUCUCACAAAUCCGUGAUUGACGCUGAAGCACGAAAGUGUGGGGAUCAAACAGGAUUAGAUACCCUGGUAGUCCACACUGUAAACGAUGAUAACUCGCUGUCGGCGAUACACAGUCGGUGGCCAAGCGAAAGCGAUAAGUUAUCCACCUGGGGAGUACGACCGCAAGGUUGAAACUCAAAGGAAUUGACGGGG
rnacentral:rRNA from 1 species